rnacentral:rRNA from 1 species
GGUUAAAACUCAAAUGAAUUGACGGGGGCCCGCACAAGCGGUGGAGCAUGUGGUUUAAUUCGAUGCAACGCGAAGAACCUUACCUACUCUUGACAUCCAGAGAACUUUCCAGAGAUGGAUUGGUGCCUUCGGGAACUCUGAGACAGGUGCUGCAUGGCUGUCGUCAGCUCGUGUUGUGAAAUGUUGGGUUAAGUCCCGCAACGAGCGCAACCCUUAUCCUUUGUUGCCAGCGGUUAGGCCGGGAACUCAAAGGAGACUGCCAGUGAUAAACUGGAGGAAGGUGGGGAUGACGUCAAGUCAUCAUGGCCCUUACGAGUAGGGCUACACACGUGCUACAAUGGCGCAUACAAAGAGAAGCGACCUCGCGAGAGCAAGCGGACCUCAUAAAGUGCGUCGUAGUCCGGAUUGGAGUCUGCAACUCGACUCCAUGAAGUCGGAAUCGCUAGUAAUCGUGGAUCAGAAUGCCACGGUGAAUACGUUCCCGGGCCUUGUACACACCGCCCGUCACACCAUGGGAGUGGGUUGCAAAAGAAGUAGUGAUAGCUUAA